GAUGAAGAACGCAGCGAAAUGUGAUAAGUAAUGUGAAUUGCAGAAUUCAGUGAAUCAUCGAAUCUUUGAACGCAUCUUGCGCUCCUUGGUAUUCUGAGGAGCAUGCCUGUUUGAGUGUCAUUAAAUUCUCAACUACACUGACUUUGAAUUGGUGUGGCUUGGAUUUGGGGGGAAAAUUGUUGUGGGCUUUUUGUAUAGUCUGCUCCCCUGAAAUUGAUUAGCGGUACCUUUGUGGAACUGUCUACAGGUGUGAUAAUUAUCUACAUCUUAGACAUCUGCUGGAAUGCUGCUUUCUAAACCUUACUUGUAUUGACAAUCUUGACCUCAAAUCAGGUAGGACUACCCGCUGAACUUAAGCAUAUCAAUAAGCGGAGGA
rnacentral:misc_RNA from 1 species